GAUGAACGCUGGCGGUGUGCCUAAUACAUGCAAGUCGAGCGAACAGACGAGGAGCUUGCUCCUCUGAUGUUAGCGGCGGACGGGUGAGUAACACGUGGAUAACCUACCUAUAAGACUGGGAUAACUUCGGGAAACCGGAGCUAAUACCGGAUAACAUGUUGAACCGCAUGGUUCAACAGUGAAAGACGGUCUUGCUGUCACUUAUAGAUGGAUCCGCGCCGCAUUAGCUAGUUGGUAAGGUAACGGCUUACCAAGGCAACGAUGCGUAGCCGACCUGAGAGGGUGAUCGGCCACACUGGAACUGAGACACGGUCCAGACUCCUACGGGAGGCAGCAGUAGGGAAUCUUCCGCAAUGGGCGAAAGCCUGACGGAGCAACGCCGCGUGAGUGAAGAAGGUCUUCGGAUCGUAAAACUCUGUUAUUAGGGAAGAACAAAUGUGUAAGUAACUAUGCACGUCUUGACGGUACCUAAUCAGAAAGCCACGGCUAACUACGUG
rnacentral:rRNA from 1 species